CCUGUGGCCAGGGCCUGCACCUCCAACACUCCCUCCCCGGAUCCCAGUCGGAGCAGAUCCACUCGGAGGCAGUUGGACGACGUGAAACCUGCGGUUUUCGGGAACUGGAGCAAGUUCAAAGUGCAGAGAUGCCUGCGACUUAAUUAACCAGGUAGAGAGUUGGACCAAGUUCUCUUCCAGCUCCGCUCGCUGUUAAUUUUAGCACAAAGUAUUUGGUGGAGAUGAUCCAACAUCCAGUUUUGACUCGGAACGUGAGAAACUUCUGCUUCUCUAAUUUUGUGUUGGUUACUCAAGACCAGCGCCGGCUUGCAUCUUGUGUCAAGGGGAGUUUCACCAUCUCCGAGCCGAUCAAAGCGACUCUGAAACAUUCCAGCUGUUGGAGAGAGUCUGUGGUCGCCGCCUGAGGAGCCACGAGCACAAACAUCACGCGACGUUUUCUGGGGACGAAUGAAGCAACACUUUUGUUAAUGGUCGUAUACUCGCAGGUUGAGGCGGAUCAGCCGGAUCUUUAACUAACCUGAGCAAAGUUCUGAGUCUGAACACAAAAAGACAAAACGCUUCAACUAGAAUGACACAUUCAGGGGCCAAACCGGAACCAACAAACGCAAAACCAAUGAAGAAGCAAUGAACGAAGAAGCAACAAAUGAAGAACUAGCAAACAAACAAAGAACCAAUGAAUGAAGAACCAACCAACCAACCAAGAAACGAAGAACCAACCAACCAACCAACCAAGAAACGAAGAACCAACGAGCGAAGAAUCUCUUAGACUUCUAUAGAAACAACCCGUGAGUCGCCCUCUGCUGGUCAGUACACAGAAUACAGGUUUUACUGUCUGUUUGCGUCUGUGAUUCAGUCUUUUGUCUGAAUACAUUCAACAUCAGGUCGUUGAGGGCGACUGAUGCUCAGGAGGUAGAGAGGGUCGUCCACUAACUGGAAGGUUGGUGGUUCGAUCCCUGCUUCCUCCAGUCAGUGUGCUGAAGUGCCCUUGGGCAGGACACUUAACCUGAAAUUACCUCUGAUGAAUGUUUGGCUUUCUUGCAUAAAUACUAUGUUCUACUUUUACCUCCAGUAAAAAAACAAUGAUGACUCUAACCUCCGUCGGAGAGGAGGAGGUUUACGAGGGUCAGGGAGGUCAUGGAGGUCGUGGGUCAGGGAGGUCAUGGAGGUCGGGGGUCAGGGAGGUCGGGGGAUGAGGCUGCGAGGCUUUAUUUGAAAAUCUGACAAUUUGCCAUUUGAACCACUGGAGGCAAAAACAAUUAAUAAAUCAGAGAUCUUGAGUUAUUAUCCCAUAAAUUCAUCACUGUAAUUUGUCCUAAGCCUCGCUCGCGGCCCCGGAGCGACGGACCCAAACAGGGAAAAUACUGACACUUAUUUAGAGAGUCGUUCUUGGCACAGCUCGACGCGCUGCGAGCCUUUAAUGGGAUGAUUGAUGGUGAAUGUAAAAGUAUGUAUAAGCUGUCAAGAGCCUCUGUGUCUCUAAUCCCCUCAUAUCAGCAGUAAUGAUUUAUGGAAAGUUAUGUGAGAAACCUGCUGCGAUAAAUGUUGAGAAAAAUUAAAUGAUAAUCUCUG